rnacentral:RNase_P_RNA from 1 species
GACAAACGCUGCAUUUAAUGUAGAGGAAAGUCCAUGCUUGCACUAUCCUGAGAUGGUAGUAGUGAUUGUGCAUAGGGAAAAAAUAACCUAUGGUAGGUAAUUACCUAACGGCGUCGAAAUUGUCCUAUAAGGAUUAAAUUAGACAUAAAGUGCCACAGAAACGAUGCUUCUAGUAAUAGAAGAAUGAAACGCGGUAAACCCCACAAGCAAGAAACCCAAAUUAUGGUAGGGGAGUUUAAAGUAGGGAAUCAAACUUACUUUAGAACCAGUAAUGGUAGAUAGAUGUUUGUCGCUCACUAGUGAGUACAGAACAUGGCUUAUAA